rnacentral:rRNA from 1 species
AGCGGCGGACGGGUGAGUAACACGUGGGCAACCUGCCUGUAAGACUGGGAUAACACCGGGAAACCGGAGCUAAUACCGGAUAAUCCUUUUCCUCUCAUGAGGAAAAGCUGAAAGACGGUUUCGGCUGWCACUUACAGAUGGGCCCGCGGCGCAUUAGCUAGUUGGUGAGGUAACGGCUCACCAAGGCGACGAUGCGUAGCCGACCUGAGAGGGUGAUCGGCCACACUGGGACUGAGACACGGCCCAGACUCCUACGGGAGGCAGCAGUAGGGAAUCUUCCACAAUGGACGAAAGUCUGAUGGAGCAACGCCGCGUGAGCGAUGAAGGCCUUCGGGUCGUAAAGCUCUGUUGUUAGGGAAGAACAAGUAUCGGAGUAACUGCCGGUACCUUGACGGUACCUAACCAGAAAGCCACGGCUAACUACGUGCCAGCAGCCGCGGUAAUACGUAGGUGGCAAGCGUUGUCCGGAAUUAUUGGGCGUAAAGCGCGCGCAGGCGGUUCCUUAAGUCUGAUGUGAAAGCCCCCGGCUCAACCGGGGAGGGUCAUUGGAAACUGGGGAACUUGAGUGCAGAAGAGAAGAGCGGAAUUCCACGUGUAGCGGUGAAAUGCGUAGAGAUGUGGAGGAACACCAGUGGCGAAGGCGGCUCUUUGGUCUGUAACUGACGCUGAGGCGCGAAAGCGUGGGGAGCAAACAGGAUUAGAUACCCUGGUAGUCCACGCCGUAAACGAUGAGUGCUAAGUGUUAGAGGGUUUCCGCCCUUUAGUGCUGCAGCUAACGCAUUAAGCACUCCGCCUGGGGAGUACGGCCGCAAGGCUGAAACUCAAAGGAAUUGACGGGGGCCCGCACAAGCGGUGGAGCAUGUGGUU